CUGAACUUGCACCUUCUUCACUUUCUUCUUCUUGUUCUUCUUCCCUUUCUCAAAGGAUCGAGAACCAGAAGACGAACCUCCUACUAAGUUCACCGACUCCUUGUGGAGUUGGUGAUCCUUCUCAAAGUUCUGAAGCAACCCCAGUAACCCGUGGUAGUUUACUUCAGGCUUUGUCAUUCUAUAAUGAGUGAGGAAUGGGAGAUAAGACUUGGGCAGCGAGUUCAGUAUUGCAUCUUUCCCAAGCUACUCAUGAAAGAGAAAG
rnacentral:lncRNA from 1 species